rnacentral:rRNA from 1 species
UACGGAGGGUGCAAGCGUUGUCCGGAAUCACUGGGCGUAAAGGGCGCGUAGGCGGCCCGGUAAGUAGGGGGUGAAAUCUCACGGCUCAACUGUGAGGCUGCCUUCUAGACUGCCAGGCUCGAGCACAGUAGAGGCUGGUGGAAUUCCCGGUGUAGCGGUGGAAUGCGUAGAGAUCGGGAAGAACAUCUGUGGCGAAGGCGGCCAGCUGGGCUGUUGCUGACGCUGAUGCGCGACAGCGUGGGGAGCAAACAGG